rnacentral:rRNA from 1 species
UGCGCAGGCGGCAUCGCAAGUCGGUCUUAAAAGUGCGGGGCUUAACCCCGUGAGGGGACCGAAACUGUGAAGCUCGAGUGUCGGAGAGGAAAGCGGAAUUCCUAGUGUAGCGGUGAAAUGCGUAGAUAUUAGGAGGAACACCAGUGGCGAAAGCGGCUUUCUGGACGACAACUGACGCUGAGGCGCGAAAGCCAGGGGAGCAAACG